GCGGGGUAAAGCCAGAGG
rnacentral:snRNA from 1 species